GAUGAACGCUGGCGGAAUGCUUUACACAUGCAAGUCGAACGGCAGCACGGACUUCGGUCUGGUGGCGAGUGGCGAACGGGUGAGUAAUGUAUCGGAACGUGCCCAGUCGUGGGGGAUAACGUAGUGAAAAUUACGCUAAUACCGCAUACGAUCUAUGGAUGAAAGCGGGGGAUCGCAAGACCUCGCGCGAUUGGAGCGGCCGAUAUCAGAUUAGGUAGUUGGUGGGGUAAAGGCCCACCAAGCCAACGAUCUGUAGCUGGUCUGGGAGGACGACCAGCCACACUGGAACUGAGACACGGUCCAGACUCCUACGGGAGGCAGCAGUGGGGAAUUUUGGACAAUGGGCGAAAGCCUGAUCCAGCCAUUCCGCGUGCAGGAUGAAGGCCCUCGGGUUGUAAACUGCUUUUGUACAGAACGAAAAGGUUUCUACUAAUACUAGGAGCUCAUGACGGUACUGCAAGAAUAAGCACCGGCUAACUACGUGCCAGCCGCCGCGGUAA
rnacentral:rRNA from 1 species